AAAGACUUGACGGUACUUCACAACACCCUAGAGGAGCCUGUCUAAUAACCGAUACUCCACGAUUAACCCCACCUGCCCUAGCCCCACAGUCUAUAUACCGCCGUCGCCAGCUUACCUUGUGAAAGAAAUAAAGUGAGCAGAACAAACUACCUUUAACACGACAGGUCAAGGUGUAACUAAUGAGCAGGUAAAAGAUGGGCUACAUUUUCUAACGCAGAAAACACGAAUCAAACCAUGAAAUCAUAACUGAAGGCGGAUUUAAUAGUAAGAUAAAAAUAGAAUGCUUA
rnacentral:rRNA from 1 species